rnacentral:rRNA from 1 species
GACGAAUGCUGGCGGCGUGCUUAACACAUGCAAGUCGAACGGAAAGGCCCUGCUUGCAGGGUACUCGAGUGGCGAACGGGUGAGUAACACGUGGGUGAUCUGCCCUGCACUUCGGGAUAAGCCUGGGAAACUGGGUCUAAUACCGGAUAGGAGCCAUUUUUAGUGCGAUGGUUGGAAAGUUUUUUCGGUGUAGGAUGAGCUCGCGGCCUAUCAGCUUGUUGGUGGGGUAAUGGCCUACCAAGGCGGCGACGGGUAGCCGGCCUGAGAGGGUGGACGGCCACAUUGGGACUGAGAUACGGCCCAGACUCCUACGGGAGGCAGCAGUGGGGAAUAUUGCACAAUGGGCGCAAGCCUGAUGCAGCGACGCCGCGUGGGGGAUGACGGCCUUCGGGUUGUAAACUCCUUUCGCUAGGGACGAAGCUUUUGGGACGGUACCUAGAUAAGAAGCACCGGCUAACUACGU